rnacentral:tRNA from 2 species
GGACGGUUAGCUCAGCGGUAGAGCAUCGCAUUCACAUUGCGGGGGCCACAGGUUCAAAUCCUGUACCGUCCACCA